CCAGGUUCCAGAAUCCUCUGCUCCCUCUGCUCCCUCUGCUUCUGCAUUGGCUCCAGUCACAGACAGCCUCUACCUGGUGAUAGUAAGAUGGUUGAAGGAGCUUUAGCUUCUCAUCUUUUCAAGUUCGAGUCAAGCUAGAUAUAGAGAAUACUUCUUCCCUGGCUCAGAUCAAAAGAUUACACUGGAUCCCUGAGAGUCUGAACUGUUGGGAGGCCUCUUCUACCAUCCCACCACUAAGUUCCAGGAAACACAACAGAGGGACCAAUUUGCUCUCACUGGAAAGUUGAAGAGGGCUCCACAGAUAAGCUGACUUCACCCAUAAACAACAGACUUUCUGAGAGCCAGAACCUGCUGUCUUGCUUCUGUUGCUUCUGUGUUUCUAACACUGUGCCUGCA